rnacentral:rRNA from 1 species
ACAUGCCUACAACAUAGCGUUAAUGCAUUGGAUCCCAUUAGAACUCCGCAGUUAAGCGUGCUCAGGCUAGAGUAGUACUGGGAUGGGUGAUCUCUUGGGAAGUCCUAGUGUUUUACAUGCC